rnacentral:misc_RNA from 1 species
AACGCGAAUGGCACUGCUAUGUAAGUAGCAGUAUGUCUGUUUGAGAAUCGCAAACACGAUCAACUCUAGUUAAGAGUUGGGACUGACCUCAUAUGCUGUUGCGUGUAUUUGGUUUGAAUGUAUUAAGUUGAUGAGCUUCCCAAUGUUGCUCAAUGUGUGCUAGCGAGACAGUCGUCCCGAUCUCACAUUCUAGCUUCAUUGCAAAGUUCUAAGCACAACUUUUUAAUAGUUUCAUCAUCAAUUACGAUCUCAAAUCAGGCAAGAUUACCCGCUGAACUUAA